rnacentral:rRNA from 1 species
AGAUGGUUCUGCUAUCACUCUUGGAUGGACCUGCGGUGCAUUAGCUAGUUGGUAAGGUAACGGCUUACCAAGGCAAUGAUGCAUAGCCGAGUUGAGAGACUGAUCGGCCACAUUGGGACUGAGACACGGCCCAAACUCCUACGGGAGGCAGCAGUAGGGAAUCUUCCACAAUGGACGAAAGUCUGAUGGAGCAACGCCGCGUGAGUGAAGAAGGGUUUCGGCUCGUAAAGCUCUGUUGGUAGUGAAGAAAGAUAGAGGUAGUAACUGGCCUUUAUUUGACGGUAAUUACUUAGAAAGUCACGGCUAACUACGUGCCAGCAGCCGCGGUAAUACGUAGGUGGCAAGCGUUGUCCGGAUUUAUUGGGCGUAAAGCGAGUGCAGGCGGUUCAAUAAGUCUGAUGUGAAAGCCUUCGGCUCAACCGGAGAAUUGCAUCAGAAACUGUUGAACUUGAGUGCAGAAGAGGAGAGUGGAACUCCAUGUGUAGCGGUGGAAUGCGUAGAUAUAUGGAAGAACACCAGUGGCGAAGGCGGCUCUCUGGUCUGCAACUGACGCUGAGGCUCGAAAGCAUGGGUAGCGAACAGGAUUAGAUACCCUGGUAGUCCAUGCCGUAAACGAUGAGUGCUAAGUGUUGGGAGGUUUCCGCCUCUCAGUGCUGC